rnacentral:rRNA from 1 species
UGGGGAAUAUUGCGCAAUGGGCGGAAGCCUGACGCAGCAACGCCGCGUGAGGGAUGACGGCCUUCGGGUUGUAAACCUCUUUCACCCACGACGAAGCGGGAGUGACGGUAGUGGGAGAAGAAGGACCGGCCAACUACGUGCCAGCAGCCGCGGUAAUACGUAGGGUCCGAGCGUUGUCCGGAAUUAUUGGGCGUAAAGGGCUCGUAGGCGGUUCGUCGCGUCGGGAGUGAAAACUCGGAGCUCAACUCCGAGCCUGCUUCCGAUACGGGCGGACUAGAGGUAGGCAGGGGAGAGCGGAACUCCUGGUGUAGCGGUGGAAUGCGCAGAUAUCAGGAAGAACACCGGUGGCGAAGGCGGCUCUCUGGGCCUUUCCUGACGCUGAGGAGCGAAAGCGUGGGUAGCGAACAG